CACCUUAGUAGUGCCAUCUAGUAAAUUA
rnacentral:sRNA from 1 species